GAACGUGUUAUAGAAAAAUAAGAGAAGUUGAGCUCAAAUUUGAGCUUCUAAUAUCUUACAUGAAGAAAAAUGGUAGCAUAGAAUGCGCAAACAAAUGUAUAUCCCUGGUGAAAACAAAUCAAGUCAGGAACUUAGGAUACAUCUGGUGUAUUCUCCAAUCGACAACAACAAGCAACUGGAAUUAUUGCUCCAUUUUUGCAGUAUUAUAAACAUUACAAGGAAAAAACAGAAAAUAACAAUAUAAUAAAACCUCUCUUUCUCUCUCUGGAAAAAAAAUCAAGAAAUAUAUAUAACAAGAAGGAAAAAAACUGUGAAAUCUCCCCCCCACAACGUGGCUAACGUUCCUACUUUCUAUUUCCAGUUCUUCGUUUCAUAUCAACAGGAGCUGGCUGCCUUCCACUCCGGUAUAAGGGAGCUCCAACUCCAUUUGGUAAUUUUCGUGAUGGUGAAGGACCUAGCAUAGGGUUCAAGUUCCUGCUCAAGUCUGGAUUCUUUGUUGCUUUUGAAUUUGGCUUCUUUGUUUUUGACUCGAUCACAUUGGCUAUGCCAGAAAGUUUGGUUUGAUUGAAUUGCCACAACAAAUCAGGUUCUGAUGAAUCACUAGUGGCGGCGUCAAGAUCAUCCAUAUCUUCAGUACUACUACUGUUGAAACGGUUGUUACCCAUUAACAUAUUAUAGGACUGCUCAGGGUAAAUUUUGGAAGAGUGUGAAAGAUAUUUCUGGUAAAAGAGAUCAGGCAAAUGACCAUUAUCUGCUUCCCAGCAUCCUUGAGGGUUUUGAACCCUGUUUACAGCAUCUUGCUUGUUCACCAUGACUUUAUCUACCCACUCGCCUGACCCCAUUUCCUUCUCAUCCUCUCCAUAAUUUUUGUUAGGACUAAUAACUGGAGGCCAUGGAGGUGAAUUUGCUAAUAGCUCGUCAAGAUCGAAGCUCUGCCUUUUUUGCCCAGAAGUAGAGUUUGUGUGAACCUCCAUGUUGCCAACAUCACCCAUGGGUUGCGGGAAGCUAUUGCUAUCAUUCACAUCCCCAAGCCGCUGGUUAGAAUUAAAUGGUGAUAACUCAUUUUCUUUUCUUCUGUAACCUUCAGAGUUGCCAGAUACAGAAUGUAAGAAGUGUUCUGCUUCUCCAUCUUUCCUCGCUAAUGCUGCCUUUAGGCUAGCAAUCUAGAAAAAGAAAAAUAUGUGUAUAUAUAUAUAUAUAAAUUUUCAUAUAGUACAUAUAAAAUUUGUAGCAUGAUUAGGCAACUAUGAAGUAAACUGUAAAGGAGACGGAAAAUGUAAUCACUUGUUCUUUGAGAUCUUUAACAUCUGCACCGUCUUUGUUCACUCGAGCUGCACCUAGUUCAACAGUGGCCACCCGCUCUGCAAAUUUUAGUGUACUUAUUGUUUCUCCAACAGCAUCAGGCUCAGGGCUUAUGUGAACAAACAUUAAUGUUUUGGCCUGCCCUCCAAGUGAAUCUUGAAGCAGCUGUGUAAGUUUGCUGUUUCUGUAAGGAACAUGUGGAUUCUUUUGGGCAAGUGAAGCAAUUACAUCACCUAAAGCUGAAAGAGAUCUGUUAAUAUGUUGUGCCUCUUUCAAUCUAUCUCCUGUCGCUUCAGAUUUGUCUACCCUCUCGCUCCCCGCCAAAUCAACCAGAUGCAUGCAACCACGAAGUAUAGCUCCUGAUGUCAACUCUCUUCCUUGGACGUGAACAGUCAAGCAACUAUGAGAGCGACUGCUACGGUCAUUUAAGGCAGUUGCACCAACAGCACGAUUCCUUUGUCCAAGGUUCAUCAGUUCAAUGACGUCAGAUGUUGAUGAAACGGGAAAAAGAUUUGCAUCUGGCACAUUCAGACCUGUUUGAGAACUAUUGCGAAUUUCUAAUCUUUUGUUGCUUCCAUCAGUAACAAGGAGAUCUCUGACUUGCUCAUUGUAAAUCUCAAUCAUUUGUACUGCAACAUUAUAGCAGAAGAUGUCCUUCCUUUGCUCUGCUAGAAGAAACAAAUCACUCAAUGCCCUAUAAUUUACACCGAGGCUUUUCUCUGUAAGAUCUUUGGGUCCUGUCAUUGUAUAUGUUUUUCCGGAUCCCGUUUGACCAUAUGCAAAUAUACAAACAUUGUACCCAUCUAGCACUGAGAUGACCAGGGGCGAGGCAUCCGCAAAUACAUCAACUUGGUUAUCGUUUGGUGUGUAAACCCUGUCAAAUUUAAAAGUCUUUCUAGUGGAGCCACCAGUUAGAAUCCCAAGAUCUCCAUCCUUUGCUGCUUCAAAGUCAACAAC
rnacentral:misc_RNA from 1 species